AUGGGGGUGGGCGCGUACGGCUUCGACAGCAUGGAGGUGGCAGAGGGUUCAGGCCGAUCGCCGAUAAGGUCCAUGCCGGGCUUGAAGUUCGGCAUCCACAUCAUGAACGGGAUCAGCACCCAGGCCGUCAACGCCAACACGCCCAUCCUCCACGUCCGCACGGGAAAAGCCUAUGUAGAGAAUGGCCGACAAUGGAGGGCGCUUGACAUAGGCCUCACCCACAGGACAUGUGCGUGGAUGCCGAAAGGAUUUAUGAGUGUAAAUACAGACUUGGGAGCUGGACGAGCAUUCCUAAGGUCUCUCUACCGACAGUAUGCCGACUGGAGCGUCGAUUUCGUGAAGCUAGAUUGCAUCUUUGGCGCGGAUUAUAGCCCGAAAGAGAUCGUGACCGUUUCAGAGAUCCUGAAAGAGCUUGAGCGACCCAGUCGUCCUAUCUAUCUCCCCAGGGCCAGUGUCACUCAAGCAUUAGCUGAGAUCACCCAACAUGUUGACAUGUAG
rnacentral:rRNA from 1 species